AGUAACGAAAAUAUUGGUGAGAAUCCAAUGCCCCGAAAACCCAAGGUUUCCUCCGCAAGGUUCGUCCAUGGAGGGUGAGUCAGGGCCUAAGAUCAGGCCGAAAGGCGUAGUCGAUGGACAACAUGUCAAUAUUCCUGUACUACCCCUUGUUGGUACGGAGGGACGGAGGAGGCUAGGUUAGCCGAAAGAUGGUUAUAGGUUUAAGGACACAAGGUGACCCUACUUUUUUAGGGUAAGAAGGGGUAGAGAAAAUGCCUCGAGCUGAGGUCCGAGUACCAAGCGCUGCAGCGCUGAAGUAUGAGCCCCGUGGACUAGCGAGUGCUUCUCCAUGAGGCUCAUUCCAGGCGCUACGGCGCUGAAGUAUUUAACUGAUGCCAUAGUCCCAGGAAAAGCUCGAACGACCUUCGACAAAAGGGUACUUGUACCCGAAACCGACACAGGUGGGUAGGUAGAGAAUACCUAGGGG
rnacentral:rRNA from 1 species